rnacentral:rRNA from 1 species
CUGCCUGGAAGUCCGGGAUAACCUGUCGAAAGACUGGCUAAUACCGGCUAAGCCCACAGGAUCUUUGGAUCCCGAGGGAAAAGAUGGCCUCUGUAAACAAGCUAUCACUUCCAGAUGAGCCCGCGGCCCAUCAGCUAGUUGGCGGGGUAAUGGCCCACCAAGGCUACGACGGGUAGCUGGUCUGAGAGGACGAUCAGCCACACUGGAACUGAGACACGGUCCAG